rnacentral:rRNA from 1 species
UACGUGGAGUCCAAGCGUUGUCCGGAUUUAUUGGGCGUAAAGAGCGUGUAGGCGGCCUGACAGGUCUGCUGUGAAAACUCGAGGCUCAACCUCGAGAUGUCGGCGGAAACCGUCUGGCUAGAGUCCGGAAGAGGAGAGUGGAAUUCCUGGUGUAGCGGCGAAAUGCGCAGAUAUCAGGAAGAACACCUAUGGCGAAGGCAGCUCUCUGGGACGGUACUGACGCUGAGACGCGAAAGCGUGGGGAGCGAACAGG